CAUAACAGCAUGCCGAAUUUCCUAUUGAAAAAGGAAAAUGGGGGAACCAUUUAUGGGGUGAAUCCGCGAUUGCGGUAGGGAUUUCCCUUUGUCCCGAACCCGUCAGCUAACCUCGUAGGCAGUUAGAAAGGGGUGUU
rnacentral:sRNA from 2 species